rnacentral:rRNA from 1 species
AUUCCAGCUCCAAUAGCGUAUAUUAAAGUUGUUGCAGUUAAAAAGCUCGUAGUUGGAUUUCCGGCGUGAGGGAUCAGUCUGACUUCUAGUCAGUACUUGGUCCUCUCAUGCCGUCCUUGAAUGGUGCAUCCUGGCAUUAAGUUGUCGGGGUGAGAGCCGUUCAUCGUUUACUGUGAGAAAAUUAGAGUGUUCAAAGCAGGCUUAUGCCGUUGAAUAUAUUAGCAUGGAAUAAUAAGAUAGGACCUUGGUACUAUUUUGUUGGUUUGAGGGACUGGAGUAAUGAUUAAUAGGGAUAGUUGGGGGCAUUAGUAUUUAAUUGUCGGAGGUGAAAUUCUCAGAUUUGUUAAGGACUAACUUAUGCGAAAGCAUUUGCCAAGGAUGUUUUCAUUA